GCACCAUCACCCCUCUCGCUGGAAACCACCAAUUCAUAAGAUUAUGCUAUCUUUUUUUGGUAUUUUAUGACCCUAUUGGCUUUUUGUUAAUAAGAUAUGUUGGUACUCCGUACAGACUAGGUGCAUUAGCAAAAAAGAGAGGUUUCGUUCAACACGCGAAGCAAACCAUCAACCGUUCCAUGCAACCCAUUCAUUGAUAAUUACCAUCCAGCCCAUUGCAAAGACAAAAAAGAAAAGGAAAAAGAAAAGAAAAAAGAAACAGAUAAAAGAAAAGAAGAAAGAGAAAGAGAAAAAGCGAAAAAAAAGAAAAAGAAAAACGAAGGAAAAGACAGAAGCAAGAAAAAAAAUAGAAAAAAAAAAUCGUAAC
rnacentral:sRNA from 1 species